rnacentral:rRNA from 1 species
GUGUCAGCCGCCGCGGUAAUACGGAGGAUCCAAGCGUUAUCCGGAAUCAUUGGGUUUAAAGGGUCCGUAGGCGGGAUGAUAAGUCAGUGGUGAAAGUCUGCAGCUCAACUGUAGAAUUGCCAUUGAUACUGUUGUUCUUGAGUUAUUGUGAAGUGGUUAGAAUGAGUAGUGUAGCGGUGAAAUGCAUAGAUAUUACUCAGAAUACCGAUUGCGAAGGCAGAUCACUAACAAUGAACUGACGCUGAUGGACGAAAGCGUAGGUAGCGAACAGGAUUAGAUACCCUGGUAGUCUACGCCGUAAACGAUGGUUACUAGCUGUUCGGACAAAUUGAUGUCUGAGUGGCUAAGCGAAAGUGAUAAGUAACCCACCUGGGGAGUACGUUCGCAAGAAUGAA